GUGUCAGCAGCCGCGGUAAUACGUAGGGCGCGAGCGUUGUCCGGAAUUAUUGGGCGUAAAGAGCUCGUAGGCGGCUUGUCGCGUCUGCUGUGAAAACGCGGGGCUUAACUCCGCGCUUGCAGUGGGUACGGGCAGGCUAGAGUGUAGUAGGGGAGACUGGAAUUCCUGGUGUAGCGGUGGAAUGCGCAGAUAUCAGGAGGAACACCGAUGGCGAAGGCAGGUCUCUGGGCUAUAACUGACGCUGAGGAGCGAAAGCAUGGGGAGCGAACAGGAUUAGAUACCCGCGUAGUCC
rnacentral:rRNA from 1 species